rnacentral:rRNA from 1 species
GAUGAACGCUGGCGGCGUGCCUAAUACAUGCAAGUCGAGCGGAUGGAUUAAGAGCUUGCUCUUAUGAAGUUAGCGGCGGACGGGUGAGUAACACGUGGGUAACCUGCCCAUAAGACUGGGAUAACUCCGGGAAACCGGGGCUAAUACCGGAUAACAUUUUGAACCGCAUGGUUCGAAAUUGAAAGGCGGCUUCGGCUGUCACUUAUGGAUGGACCCGCGUCGCAUUAGCUAGUUGGUGAGGUAACGGCUCACCAAGGCAACGAUGCGUAGCCGACCUGGGGUGGGGAUCGGCCACACGGGGACUGAGCCAAGGCCCAACCGCGUGAGGGAGGCAGCAGUAGGGAAUCUGCCGGAAUGGACGAAAGUCUGACGGAGCAACGCCGCGUGAGUGAUGAAGGCUUUCGGGUCGUAAAACUCUGUUGUUAGGGAAGAACAAGCGCUAGUUGAAUAAGCUGGCACCUUGACGGUACCUAACCAGAAAGCCACGGCUAACUACGUGCCAGCCGCCGCGGUAA